GAUGAACGCUGGCGGCGUGCCUAAUACAUGCCAGUCGAGCGAACAGAUGAGGAGCUUGCUCCUCUGACGUUAGCGGCGGACGGGUGAGUAACACGUGGAUAACCUACCUAUAAGACUGGGAUAACUUCGGGAAACCGGAGCUAAUACCGGAUAAUAUAUUGAACCGCAUGGUUCAAUAGUGAAAGACGGUUUUGCUGUCACUUAUAGAUGGAUCCGCGCCGCAUUAGCUAGUUGGUAAGGUAACGGCUUACCAAGGCAACGAUGCGUAGCCGACCUGGGAGGGUGAUCGGCCACACGGGAACUGAGACACGGUCCAGACUCCUACGGGAGGCAGCAGUAGGGAAUCUUCCGCAAUGGGCGAAAGCCUGACGGAGCAACGCCGCGUGAGUGAUGAAGGUCUUCGGAUCGUAAAACUCUGUUAUUAGGGAAGAACAAAUGUGUAAGUAACUAUGCACGUCUUGACGGUACCUAAUCAGAAAGCCACGGCUAACUACGUG
rnacentral:rRNA from 1 species